rnacentral:rRNA from 1 species
AUUGAACGCUGGCGGCAUGCUUUACACAUGCAAGUCGAACGGUAACAGGGAGCCUGCUCCGCUGACGAGUGGCGAACGGGUGAGUAAUGCAUCGGAACGUACCCAGUCGUGGGGGAUAACGUAGCGAAAGUUACGCUAAUACCGCAUACGUCCUGAGGGAGAAAGCGGGGGACCGUAAGGCCUCGCGCGAUUGGAGCGGCCGAUGUCGGAUUAGCUAGUUGGUAGGGUAAAGGCCUACCAAGGCGACGAUCCGUAGCGGGUCUGAGAGGAUGAUCCGCCACACUGGGACUGAGACACGGCCCAGACUCCUACGGGAGGCAGCAGUGGGGAAUUUUGGACAAUGGGCGAAAGCCUGAUCCAGCCAUGCCGCGUGAGUGAAGAAGGCCUCGGUUGUAAG